UGAAGCCCCUGCUUGAAUAUGAGGUGAAGCAUUUUUUAUGUUGAAACAUGUCCUCACUGUUUCCAUGUUUUUCAUUUUAUUUGCAUGCUUUUCGAUUUUUGUCUCCCCAUAUGUUGAUCUUAUGAAUAUGAUGCUUGGAUCAAUGCCUUUUGCCAAUAUUCAAUAAGACUAUAACCAACUGCUCCCAAAACUAUUGAUAUAUGCUUCUUUGUGCUACCUUAAUGCAACUGUUUUACAUUCUAAAAUAUGCAAGAAUUAAUGGCAGUUAAUCUGUUUUUUUUUUUUUUUG
rnacentral:misc_RNA from 1 species